rnacentral:rRNA from 1 species
GUUUGAUCCUGGCUCAGAUUGAACGCUGGCGGCAUGCCUUACACAUGCAAGUCGAACGGUAACAGGUCUUCGGAUGCUGACGAGUGGCGAACGGGUGAGUAACGCAUCGGAACGUGUCCAGUAGUGGGGGAUAGCCCGGCGAAAGCCGGAUUAAUACCGCAUACAACCUACGGGUAAAAGGGGGGGAUCGCAAGACCUCUCGCUAUUGGAGCGGCCGAUGUCAGAUUAGGUAGUUGGUGGGGUAAAGGCCCACCAAGCCGACGAUCUGUAGCUGGUCUGAGAGGACGACCAGCCACACUGGGACUGAGACACGGCCCAGACUCCUACGGGAGGCAGCAGUGGGGAAUUUUGGACAAUGGACGCAAGUCUGAUCCAGCCAUGCCGCGUGCGGGAAGAAGGCCUUCGGGUUGUAAACCGCUUUUGUCAGGGAAGAAAAGCCGCAUGCUAAUACCGUGCGGUCAUGACGGUACCUGAAGAAUAAGCACCGGCUAACUACGUGCCAGCAGCCGCGGUAAUACGUAGGGCGCAAGCGUUGUCCGGAAUUAUUGGGCGUAAAGAGCUUGUAGGCGGCUUGUCGCGUCUGGUGUGAAAACCCACCGCUCAACGGUGGGCUUGCAUCGGGUACGGGCAGGCUAGAGUAUGGUAGGGGAAACUGGAAUUCCUGGUGUAGCGGUGAAAUGCGCAGAUAUCAGGAGGAACACCGAUGGCGAAGGCAGGUUUCUGGGCCAUUACUGACGCUGAGAAGCGAAAGCAUGGGGAGCGAACAGGAUUAGAUACCCUGGUAGUCCAUGCCGUAAACGUUGGGCACUAGGUGUGGGGAACAUUCCACGUUUUCCGCGCCGUAGCUAACGCAUUAAGUGCCCCGCCUGGGGAGUACGGCCGCAA